ACUCAACAUUUCAACUUCUCAAAAUGAGGUUCCCUGCUCAGCUCCUGGGGCUGAUAAUGCUCUGGAUCCCAAGAUCCAGUGGAGACAUUGUGAUGACCCAGAGUCCACUCUCCCUGCCCGUCACCCCUAGAGUGCCAGCCUCCAUCUCCUGCAGGUCUAGUCAGAGCCUCCUACGUCGUGAUGGAUACACCUAUUUGGACUGGUACCUGCAGAAGCCAGGCCAGCCUCCACAACUGCUGAUCUAUGAGGUUUCCAAACGGGUCUCUGGGGUCUCAGACAGGUUCAGUGGCAGUGGGUCGGAGAAGGAUUUCACCCUUAAUAUCAGCAGGGUAGAGGCUGAGGAUGUUGGAGUUUAUUACUGCAUGCAAGGUACACAAGUUCCUCCCACAGUGGUGCAGCCCUGAAC